rnacentral:rRNA from 1 species
CAGCAGCCGCGGGAAUACGGAGGGGGCUAGCGUUGUUCGGAAUUACUGGGCGUAAAGCGCACGUAGGCGGCUUUGUAAGUUAGAGGUGAAAGCCUGGAGCUCAACUCCAGAGUUGCCUUUAAGACUGCAUCGCUUGAACCAUGGAGAAGCGGGUGGAAUUCCGAGUGUAGAGGUGAAAUUCGUAGAUAUUCGGAAGAACACCAGUGGCGAAGGCGGCCCGCUGGACAUGUAUUGACGCUGAGGUGCGAAAGCGUGGGGAGCAAACAGGAUUAGAUACCCCUGUAGUCCCUGUCUCUUAUAC